UAGGGAAUCUUCCGCAAUGGACGAAAGUCUGACGGAGCAACGCCGCGUGAGUGAAGAAGGAUUUCGGUUCGUAAAACUCUGUUGUUAGGGAAGAAAAAAUGUAUAGUAACUAUAUACAAAAGAGACGGUACCUAACCAGAAAGCCACGGCUAACUACGUGCCAGCAGCCGCGGUAAUACGUAGGUGGCAAGCGUUGUCCGGAAUUAUUGGGCGUAAAGCGCGCGCAGGUGGUUUAGAAAGUCUGAUGUGAAAGCCCACGGCUCAACCGUGGAUGGUCAAUUGAAACUAAUACUCUUGGGUGCAGGCGAGAAAAGUGGAAUUCCUAGUGUUGCGGUGGAAUUCGUAGAGAUUAGGAGGAACACCGGUGGCGAAAGCGGCUUUUUGGCCUGCAACUGACACUGAGGCGCGAAAGCGUGGGGAGCAAACAGG
rnacentral:rRNA from 1 species